ensembl:lncRNA
GUGACAGUUCAAAAAGAACGGAAAGAACGGAAAGAACCUCCACAGAGACUGAAACACGGGGCAGGAAAUUAGGUGACAGUUCAAAAACAACAAAAGGAACGGAAAGAACGGAAAGAACCUCCACAGAGACAGAAACAUAGAACAGAAAAUUAGGUGACAGUUCAAAAACAACAACAGAAAGAACGGAAAGAACGGAAAGAACCUCCACAGAGACAGAAACAUAGGGCAGAAAAUUAGGUGACAGGUCAAAAACAACAAAAAGAACGGAAAGAACGGAAAGAACGGAAAGAACGGAAAGAACGGAAAGAACGGAAAGAACGGAAAGAACCUCCACAGAGACAGAAACAUUGGGCAGAAAAUUAGGUGACAGUUCAAAAAGAACGGAAAGAACGGAAAGAACCUCCACAGAGACUGAAACACGGGGCAGGAAAUUAGGUGACAGUUCAAAAACAACAAAAGGAACGGAAAGAACGGAAAGAACCUCCACAGAGACAGAAACAUAGAACAGAAAAUUAGGUGACAGUUCAAAAACAACAACAGAAAGAACGGAAAGAACGGAAAGAACCUCCACAGAGACAGAAACAUAGAGCAGAAAAUUAGGUGACAGUUCAAAAACAACAACAGAAAGAACGGAAAGAACGGAAAGAACGGAAAGAACGGAAAGAACGGAAAGAACGGAAAGAACGGAAAGAACGGAAAGAACGGAAAGAACGGAAAGAACGGAAAGAACGGAAAGAACCUCCACAAAGACAGAAACAUAGGGCAGAAAAUUAGGUGACACUUCAAAAACAACAACAGAAAGAACGGAAAGAACGGAAAGAACCUCCACAGAGACAGAAACAUAGGGCAGAAAAUUAGGUGACACUUCAAAAACAACAACAGAAAGAACGGAAAGAACCUCCACAGAGACAGAAACAUAGGGCAGAAAAUUAGGUGACAGGUCAAGACCAAGAACGGAAGGAACGGAAAGAACGGAAAGAACCUCCACAGAGACACAAACAUAGGGCAGAAAGUUAGGUGACAGUUCAAAAACAAUAACAGAAAGAACGGAAAGAAUGGAACGAACCUCCACAGAGACAGAAACAUAGGGCAUAAAAUUAGGUGACAGUUCAAAAACAACAACGGAAAGAACGGAAAGAACGGAAAGAACGGAAAGAACGGAAAGAACGGAAAGAACGGAAAGAACGGAAAGAACGGAAAGAACGGAAAGAACGGAAAGAACGGAAAGAACGGAAAGAACCUCCACAGAGACAGAAACUUAAGGCAAAAAAUUAGGUGACAGUUCAAAAACAAGAACGGAAGGAACGGAAGGAACGGAAGGAACGGA